rnacentral:rRNA from 1 species
GACGAACGCUGGCGGCGUGCUUAACACAUGCAAGUCGAACGGAAAGGCCCUGCUUUUGUGGGGUGCUCGAGUGGCGAACGGGUGAGUAACACGUGAGUAACCUGCCCUUGACUUUGGGAUAACUUCAGGAAACUGGGGCUAAUACCGGAUAGGAGCUCCUGCUGCAUGGUGGGGGUUGGAAAGUUUCGGCGGUUGGGGAUGGACUCGCGGCUUAUCAGCUUGUUGGUGGGGUAGUGGCUUACCAAGGCUUUGACGGGUAGCCGGCCUGAGAGGGUGACCGGCCACAUUGGGACUGAGAUACGGCCCAGACUCCUACGGGAGGCAGCAGUGGGGAAUAUUGCACAAUGGGCGGAAGCCUGAUGCAGCAACGCCGCGUGCGGGAUGACGGCCUUCGGGUUGUAAACCGCUUUCGCCUGUGACGAAGCGUGAGUGACGGGAAUGGGUAAAGAAACACCGGCUAACUACGU